CCUACGGGAGGCAGCAGUGAGGAAUAUUGGUCCAUGGACGCAAGUCUGAACCAGCCAUGCCGCGUGCAGGAAGAAGGCUCUAUGAGUUGUAAACUGCUUUUGUACGAGGGUAAACGCAGAUACGCGUAUCUGGCUGAAAGUAUCGUACGAAUAAGGAUCUGCUAACUACGUGCAAGCAGCCGCGGUAAUACGGAGUCUUCAAGCGUUAUCCGGAUUUAUUGGGUUGAACGGGUGCGUAGGCGGUCGGAUAAGUUAGAGGUGAAAUCCCGAGGCUCAACUUCGGAAUUGCCUGUGAUACUGUUCGGCGAGAGAGUAGUUGCGGUAGGCGGAAUGUAUGGUGGAGCGGUGAAAUGCUUAGAGAUCAUACAGAACACCGAUUGCGAAGGCAGCUUACCAAGCUACUUCUGACGUUGAGGCACGAAAGCGUGGGGAGCAAACAGGAUUAGAUACCCUUGUAGUC
rnacentral:rRNA from 1 species